rnacentral:rRNA from 1 species
UACGAAGGGGGCUAGCGUUGCUCGGAAUCACUGGGCGUAAAGGGUGCGUAGGCGGGUCUUUAAGUCAGGGGUGAAAUCCUGGAGCUCAACUCCAGAACUGCCUUUGAUACUGAAGAUCUUGAGUUCGGGAGAGGUGAGUGGAACUGCGAGUGUAGAGGUGAAAUUCGUAGAUAUUCGCAAGAACACCAGUGGCGAAGGCGGCUCACUGGACCGGUACUGACGCUGAUGUGCGAAAGCGUGGGGAGCAAACAGG